AGAUUUAUUGAAAUAACGUGGUGAGCAGCAAACACUCCUGCAAAGACAAAGUCUGAAAUGAGCUUCAAUCAAUCUGGGAAAGAACAAUUGUGUGACAAAUGCAAGGUGCCUGUGAUGAUGCGGCAAGGAAGCUUUUAAUUGCACCUGUGCAUAAAUCUACAACAGUAAACUCAACUUUGAAAUUUGAACAUCUAGCUACUGCUACAGAAUUCUGUGAACAAUUAAGGAGAACUUAAACUUUGCAAUGGCAUUCCAAGAUGACUGAAUCGUAAAGGGAAUCCAGGAAUGUUGGAUUAAUGCAGGAAGAUAGUCUCUAAUAAAAGACCAGCCACAGUCUUAACAGGAAUGAGGGGGGAAAUGGCCUCUUUCUGCCUCUGAUGAAGGAUUUCAGCCGAAAACAUUGACAGUUUAUUUAUUUCCAUAGAUGCUGCCUGACCUGCUGAGUUUCUCCAGCAUUUUGUGCAUGUUCCUCCGGAUUCUAUUGCUUUUGAUCUCAUAUCCAUAAAAUUAACUGGAUAACCCUUU